GUCCAGAUGAAGAUGAUGAUGAAGGUCAUGUUGAUGAAGAUUGUUGUGUGUGUCAGUGAUGAAGUGUUAAACUCACAGCACUAUAAACACUCUCAGAGCACUGAAGCAUCUGAUCAAUAUGCAAACACACUCCAGAUCAUUUACCUGAAGACAGCAGAAACACUGUUUUGUCAUUUAGUAUCUUUGCUAAUAAAUUUCUAUUGAUCAUUUUCAGAAACAGACACUCCUGAUUUACUUCAUGUUAUUUUGGGUGGAUCUUCUCCCUCUAAAUACUGUUUUAAUGAUCAGUUUCAUUCAGACUUUGAUGCUGAGAGCAUUUAAUACCUGUGCUGCAGAUUUGAUAUCAUCAUGAUACUGUAGAACAGGUCAAAGGUCAUCCAAUAGAGAAUGACCAUCUCAAUCUGGCAAAAGAUUUCAUUAUAAAGCAGGUCAUUAGAAUUAGCACAGUUUUACUCACACAUGUUUUGUAAAUGUGAUGAAUGUAGUUUUUGACUGAUUAUAAAAUUUCAUCCUUCAUGCAAUAACAAGUAUUUCUUUUAAAGAUGAAUAUUUAGUGUGUGUUUUCAGCUCAAUCAUGUUGAUGUUGAGAAGAGCUGCUGUUGAGUCUCAUAUCAGUGUGUGUGAGUGUCGUUCGUCUCUUUCUCUGCUGGAGUUUGUGUUCAUUUGAGUGUGACGGAGGUUUUUGUACGACGCUUUCACUAGAAUGAAGCACUGUGGUGGACUUUCGGUGGAGGAACUAAACUGACCAUCACUGGUCCCGCAGUGAAGCCCUCCGUGUCUCUGCUGCCGCCCUCUUCUCUGCAGAUCUCUGGAGACUCAGCCGCACUGCUCUGCCUGCUCAGCUCUUACUCUCCACAGGGGGCGACGGUGAGCUGGACGCUGGACGGGUCAGAGGUCAGCGAGGGGGUUCAGACCAGCGCAGAGAGCGAGCGGGACGGACGCUACAGCCGCAGCAGCGUCCUGAGCCUCAGCAAAGCACGCUGGGAAGGCGCGGAUCGCUUCGUCUGCAGAGUAAGACAUGAAGGAGCUGAUCACGAGGCCUCGUUCCUCAAGAGCUCCCAGUGCUGAUGUUUCUCCGGUCCAGACGAGCCGUAUCUGAGCGUCCGGCAGGAUUCACAGCUGUCACGUGAUUUACAGCUCAAUACUGAAGCAGUCUUUCAAUGUGCUGCCAUUGCUGUUCAUUCAAUAAAGCUUCUGAACGCGUUA